AAAACGCUGGAGGAAUUCAGUAGGUCAAGCAGCUUCCGUGAAAAUGAGAAAACACUCAAACUUCAGGGAGACUGAAGGCUGAAGGGGUACAACUGUUCCUGAGCCUAGUGGUGUGGGACCUAAGGCUCCUGUUCCUCCUUCCCAAUGGCAGCAGCAAAAAGGGAGCAUGCCCUGGAUGGUGGGGGUCCUCGAUGAUGGACGCUGCUUUCUUGUGGCAGUGCUACUUGCAGUUUCCAGGAACUUAAUGGAUUUUCAUUGGACCUGGGGAGGAACUUUGCAAUGUUGUUCUAGAGCUGUCUUUGACAGAACUGUGGCAUUAUGGAUGAAUUAUCAGCUCCAAAUGGCUAUGAUGGGAUUAAUGCACUUCAGCAACAUAAAUCUAAAAUGCAACGCAAGCAACAAACUUUGAUGCUGACCCACAUGGCAAGCAGGCUCUGUGCCCAAAGAUCUCAGGUCUCAGCCAUAGAUCUUCUGACUUCCACAACAACACACCAUGACCCCGACCUUCGAUCCACCCGUCUCCAGAGCCACGAAGUCUCAGACCUCCGUAGGUAUCUCAAACAAGAGAAAAUCAGCAGAUGCUGGAAAUCCAAGCAACACGCACAAAAUGCUGGUCCUGAUGAAGGUUUGGUCUUGGGUGAGAGCGCCAACUGUUUACUCUUUU